rnacentral:rRNA from 1 species
GAUGAACGCUGGCGGCGUGCUUAACACAUGCAAGUCGAACGAAGCACUUUAUUUGAUUUCCUUCGGGACUGAUUAUUUUGUGACUGAGUGGCGGACGGGUGAGUAACGCGUGGGUAACCUGCCUUGUACAGGGGGAUAACAGUCGGAAACGGCUGCUAAUACCGCAUAAGCGCACAGCAUCGCAUGAUGCAGUGUGAAAAACUCCGGUGGUAUAAGAUGGACCCGCGUUGGAUUAGCUAGUUGGUGAGGUAACGGCCCACCAAGGCGACGAUCAGUAGCCGACCUGAGAGGGUGACCGGCCACAUUGGGACUGAGACACGGCCCAAACUCCUACGGGAGGCAGCAGUGGGGAAUAUUGCACAAUGGAGGAAACUCUGAUGCAGCGACGCCGCGUGAGUGAAGAAGUAGUUCGCUAUGUAAAGCUCUAUCAGCAGGGAAGAUAGUGACGGU